GACCUACAAAACCCAAGCAUAUAAUAGAGUAAGCUUCAGCCCUUGGCCAUUCACAGGGGCGCUCAUAACUACUGUAACACUUGUUGAAAGGCACUCAUUACAACAUCUGUCUUAGCCAUAUGAUUCCACUCGAACUCAAUUACUCUAUUAACCCUAGGCCUAGUAACUAAUACAUUAACAAUGUAUCAAUCAUAAUGAGACAAUAUCAGAGAAGGCACAUUCCAUGGCCACCACUUGUCAAUUGUCCGAAAGGGCCUUAGAUAUGGAAUAAUUUUAUUUAUCCCAUCAGAAGUAGUUUUCUCUGCUGGAUUCUUCUGAGCAUUCAAGCCUGGUCCCAAUCCCAGAACUCGGAGGCUGCUGACCUCCAACAGGUAUUUACCUCCUUAACCCCUUCGAAGUGCCCCUACUCAACAUAUCCAUUCUCUCAGCUUUGGGAGUAUCAAUUACCUGAGCCCAUCAUAGUUUGAAAGAAGAAAACCAAAAACACAUACUCCAAACCUUAUCCAUUACGAUUGCCCUGGAUAUUUACUUUACACUCUUCCAAGCCUCAGAAUGCUUCCAGGCACCUUUCACCACCUCUCAUGGCAUAUAUGGCUCAACAUUCUCUAUCGCUACAGACUUCCAUGGACUUCACGUCAUCAAUGGCUCAACCUUCCUAACCAUCUGCCUUGUGCAUCAACGAAAAUUU
rnacentral:lncRNA from 1 species